rnacentral:rRNA from 1 species
AUAUCAGAAGGCACACCCGGAGAACUGAAACAUCUUAGUACCCGGAGGAAGAGAAAGAAAAUUCGAUUCCCUUAGUAGCGGCGAGCGAAACGGGAAGAGCCCAAACCAAAAAGCUUGCUUGUUGGGGGUGUAGGACACUCUAUACGGAGUUACAAAGGACGACAUUAGACGAAUCAUCUGGAAAGAUGAAUCAAAGAAGGUAAUAAUCCUGUAGUCGAAAAUGUUGUCUCUCUUGAG